rnacentral:rRNA from 1 species
GAUGAACGCUGGCGGCGUGCCUAAUACAUGCAAGUCGAGCGAAAAGACGAGGAGCUUGCUCCUCUGACGUUAGCGGCGGACGGGUGAGUAACACGUGGAUAACCUACCUAUAAGACUGGGAUAACUUCGGGAAACCGGAGCUAAUACCGGAUAAUAUAUUGAACCGCAUGGUUCAAUAGUGAAAGACGGUUUUGCUGUCACUUAUAGAUGGAUCCGCGCCGCAUUAGCUAGUUGGUAAGGUAACGGCUUACCAAGGCAACGAUGCGUAGCCGACCUGAGAGGGUGAGCGGCCACACUGGAACUGAGACACGGUCCAGACUCCUACGGGAGGCAGCAGUAGGGAAUCUUCCGCAAUGGGCGAAAGCUUGACGGAGCAACGCCGCGUGAGUGAUGAAGGUCUUCGGAUCGUAAAACUCUGUUAUUAGGGAAGAACAAAUGUGUAAGUAACUAUGCACGUCUUGACGGUACCUAAUCAGAAAGCCACGGCUAACUACGUG